GACUUGGCCGCCUCAGCUUUGGUGUGUUCCAGGGUCUUUGUGGCCAACUCUGGGUUAAGUUUCAUGUCUCCAGGGAAGUAAAAAGGCAGAAGAAGCUGUUGCUGCAGAGAAAGCAUGUUGUCUGGUGUCAGAGAGAAGUGCUGAAGGAGAUUCUCUGGUCCAAUGGGAAGGUGCUGCAUCAUUUGGGCCUGGAGCAACGCCGUGUGUUGCAACUGAGCUUGAGCCUGAGCCUGAGCCAGUUGCUGCUGUUGCAUUAGUAAUAGUUGGUUUCUUGAUGCUAUCAGUUCUGCCACUCUCUUUUUAGCUUGUUGUCCAUCAGUUGAUGCUGUCAGUUGGGCCUCAGCUACCACUCCUGUUGAUGAACUCGCUACAUCUGGCUUCUUGGUAAAAGGUGGAUUUGCAUCAUUUCCCACGGCACACACCAAACAACAUAGAGGACCACUAACAGGAGGGACGCCUCGGCGGGAAGCGGGCGCUCCUCUGGACGAGCGAGAGCGAGAUGAUGAAUGCAAACCAGAUCGAGAGGUGGUGGUGCUCCGCUCAACCUGACCUUUGACCUCCGCAGAUGUGAGGCCGACGACGUGGAGUCAAAUAUAAAUAAGGCAACAAGAGAAGUAUCCCACACUUCUCUUUUGUAAAGUAAAUUUGUACAGCCGAUAUGUGCAUUGACAUCUGAAAAGCUGGACAGGACAAAAAUUAAUAAAUAAAGCAAAUGAAUGGAUAAUUGGUAUUGAAAUCAUAGGCCAAAAUGAGAAAAAAAUAUUUAGAUGUGUAUUUCUAUUCUUACAAAACAAUGUUGCGAUACAGCAUAUAAAGUUUAAAAGAUGUGCAAUUAUGUGCAGUAUGUAUAUUUUUUGUGUACUUUAUUGACACACGUUAAUUCAAGGCUUUCUCAGGCCACAUGAAAUAAUGUGGUGGGCCAGAUCCGGCCCCCUCGAGUUCGACACCUGUGCUGUAUUUGCACAAGACGCCUGAACUAUACAUUCAAAUUGAACCGCCCGCAUGCAAGAUGGAAUAACCUGUAUCACUAUUCUGCCUGGACCAGCAAACGUGAUAACGUUCUCCGCGGACUGGCGGAAUACUUUGGGCAGUUAUGGCUUGCAGCGUGUUGCAUCCAACUGAAAGGUGUGUGUCAUAUUUUUGCCUUGCUAAUGUUGCCAAAAUGAGGUAACCAAACAACUCAGGUAUUCUGGCAUGCAACAGUUAGACCACACACACAACAGUCAACAUAUUUGGAGAUUAAUAUCUGUCUGACAGUGUGAUACUUUUUUCUCUAACCUUUCCUGGGCAAAUAAUAAUAAUGAUAAUAAUCUUGUUGGUCUAGAUCAGGGGUGUCAAACUCAAAUUGAACAAAUUAACCUUUUAAAAGAAACCCAAACAAGUUUUGCAUUGAAUAUUGAACAAGGACGGCUUAUAAACUUUACAAUGACAUGCAAAGUCGAGUUUUAAAUAACAAUAAUGAUAAAUAAAAAUAUCAAUGGCAUAUAUCAAAUACAAAUUUGAAAGAAAAUUGAAUGCCUCUUUUCUAUUUGCAGCCUUAUGAGGUAAAUAUCAAAAUAGUUUUUCCACAGGCUAAUAAAUCCAUCCAUCCAACUUCUUCCGCUUAUCCGAGGUUGUGUCGUGGGGGCAGCAGCCUAAGCAGGGAAGCCCAGACUUCCCUCUCCCCAGCCAUUUCAUCCAGCUCCUCCUGAGGAAUCCCGAGGCGUUCCCAGGCCAGCUGGGAGACAUAGUCUUCCCAACGUGUCCUGGGUCUUCCCCGUGGCCUCCUACCGGUCGG